ACACAUUCCAGCAGGCCAGCGGCUCGGAGCUUACGCCCUCCCAGAGAUGUGGUGCUCUCCUGGAGCUGCUGACUGUACUUCCAGAACAGCACAACACGACCUGCCUAGCCCAGAGCAGGAGAGGAACAGUUCGUAAUGCCAUGCAGGAGGGCCUGCCACAUGUCCUUCCCUUGCUUCAGAAUUUACUGGAGCAGCCCUCCACCCUAGAUGUACAACAGCAGGC